GGCCCCAGACCCCACCGGACAAACCCUAGCCUCACAUCUCGCACUCCUCCCUCCUCCUCCUUCCUCGUUAGACUCCACCGCCGCUGUCGUUCUGCCUCCAUCCUUUCUGUCCUACAACCAUGCCGUCGGGAGGAAGCCGCCGUCCGCGGCGCCAUACCGCUGCUGGGGUGUUGUGCACGCUUCGUUCCCCACAGCCCCUCCCUCAUCCUAGGUCGUCACCGCCGCUGCUUGCUACUCCCCUCCACCACCGUUGCUGCUUCUGGGUCGAAUCUGGCGUUGGUGGGUCGGAGCUCGAGCUAGAGGCCGAGAUGGGGAAGGUCAAAAAAGGAGACCGGAUGGAGGUGCUCGAGGCCGAGGAAGCUGGAGAUGGCGAGAUCCCUCUCCCCAUAUCUAUUCUCUUAGUUUUUCCUCUUCAAACUUUCAUUGAUGGUCUCUCUCCCUCACCACAACUAGCUUCACUGGCCAUCCAGUGGUUGGAGCAUGGGGCAACGCUCCACUUGCGAUGGGGUGGAGCUGCGCAGGAGGGGAAGGAGGCUCGCGACAAGGAGCCGGGCCAGGGAGGAGGCAAGGUUUUUCCAUGGUUGUAUUUGGCAUAUUGGCGUUAUCAGGAGUUGUGGUUCUGGAUUUUUUCGCUACUCUAUAGAUCUAUUAUUUGAAGAACUGAUGAUAUACAGUGCUUGUCAAGUAUGUGUGGAAAGCUUGACAAUUCGUUUUUAUCUCUAUGAUCUCCUCAUGACCACAACCAUAGUGCAGGAUGCUGCUGCCCAAGUUGUCAUUUAUCUUUGGGUAUUCCUUAAUGGUGGAGCUACUACAUAUCCAGAUCACUAGAUGAUACAAAGAACUAGGAGGGUGCAGAUAAGUAAGAGUUGUUGGCAGCAGCAACCUACACAUGUGGAAACAGUGGCUAUGGCGGUUCAAAGGGAAGUUGUGGCUGCUAGACAACAACUCACAACUUAGUGGCGGCUCAAAGGACAUAUGAUCUAUUUCUUCUUGGAGCUAUCUACUAUCAUAUUAUGACUCGGUGCUAGUUGAAGCUUCUAUUUUUCUCGCCUUUUGUGGUGGCGAUUAUUCCUUGGACUACAAUAAUUCCAUUUAUCAUUCGAUCUAUCUAUUUCUAUAGGCUAUUCCUCAUGUUGCAACCUUUUCCCGUAGAAUCAAAAGGAAUUAGAUGGAAGAAAUUGCAGGAGAGAAGGAAUGGUAUUCUCGGCUGACAUUCAAAAGCAGUCAAGAUGGUGAAGUUUAGAACGGAGGAGCUCCGCGGAAUUAUGGAUAAAAAAUAUCCAUAACAUGUCUGUCAUUGCUCAUGUCGACCAUGGUUGUACAAUCGGGAAAUGCUUUUAUCUUGCAGGCCGGUUUUACAUUUACUUCUUCGAUAAGGAGAUGACCAUGAAUAGAGUAUCAUGGUAUUUGCCUCGGCAUUACUGAUGUUGUGUUCAUAUUACUGAAAGAAGGAUUGGUAGCCGCAAAGGAUUGAAGGGUAGAAAAUAUGCCCAUUGUCAUUGAAUUGGUGGGAUUGUCCCCAAGUUAGUGUUGCAGAUGUUUCUAUUUUAGAGCAAGAAACCAAAUCAUGUUGUUCGUUGUAAAUCUUGAAAAACUUGUUUAUUGUCACUUCUAUAUCUAUUGUAAAUGUUUGUUCGUGAUAUGGUACUUGUCAAUCUUGGUUUUCCCUUC